CCUCAUGAUAUUCUAGGCAAAGAGCAAGAGAAAUUCUAGAAACCGAUCCAAUUUGACAAUCCUUCAUCACAGUGGCAGCAAACCAUUCAGGAAAGUGAUUUAUGACAAUGGCGGCAAGGAUAAUAAUCCACCAGCUUUGGAUGCCUUAUUUUUUAUGACUCACACAAAGGGUGACAAUUUUAUUGAUUCUGAGUCCUCCAGCAAGCAUGCACAAAUUCAGGAACAAAUGUUUUCAGAUCCUUCUCUUUCCAAUGCACAACUUAUGGACAAGUGCUUCCCUUCAAAACGGCAGGACCAUAUCAUUGGAUAUGGUGGUCGAGUGAAAGCAAGACAUCUUCGAAGUCCAUAUGUUAGUAAGGCUGAAUUGUUAGAGAAGCUAAAACAGUCGGAGGAUGAGAAACGAGCAAUGCUUGAGGAGAACAGAGAGCUUCGAGAAGAAAAUCGGGCUACAAACAGUCGUGUAAGCCAAAUGGAAAAGGAGUGGGCAGAGUUGAAGAAACAAAUAAGUAGUAGUUAGCAUAGAAAUCUUGAUUUGAGUAGAGUUUGAGUGAUAUGAAUAUUUACAACUUUUAUACCAUUGGAUAAAUACGUGAUACUAGAUUUAUUAUAUGUAAUAAUCAGAUUACCACCGAUAUAUAUAUACAAGCUGCAAAUGGUUCAUUGGUGCAUCUCAAUGUGAAAUUGAAUGGUCAUUGUUGUUUAAUACAGGGAAGCAGAAAGAUGUCGUUUAUUAA